GAUGAACGCUGGCGGCGUGCCUAAUACAUGCAAGUCGAGCGAACAGACGAGGAGCUUGCUCCUCUGACGUUAGCGGCGGACGGGUGAGUAACACGUGGAUAACCUACCUAUAAGACUGGGAUAACUUCGGGAAACCGGAGCUAAUACCGGAUAAUAUAUUGAACCGCAUGGUUCAAUAGUGAAAGACGGUUUUGCUGUCACUUAUAGAUGGAUCCGCGCCGCAUUAGCUAGUUGGUAAGGUAACGGCUUACCAAGGCAACGAUGCGUAGCCGACCUGAGAGGGUGAUCGGCCACACUGGAACUGAGACACGGUCCAGACUCCUACGGGAGGCAGCAGUAGGGAAUCUUCCGCAAAGGGCGAAAGCCUGACGGAGCAACGCCGCGUGAGUGAUGAAGGUCUUCGGAUCGUAAAACUCUGUUAUUAGGGAAGAACAAAUGUGUAAGUAACUAUGCACGUCUUGACGGCACCUAAUCAGAAAGCCACGGCUAACUACGUG
rnacentral:rRNA from 1 species